GAUGAACGCUGGCGGCGUGCCUAAUACAUGCAAGUCGAGCGAAUGGAUUAAGAGCUUGCUCUUAUGAAGUUAGCGGCGGACGGGUGAGUAACACGUGGGUAACCUGCCCAUAAGACUGGGAUAACUCCGGGAAACCGGGGCUAAUACCGGAUAAUAUUUUGAACUGCAUGGUUCAAAAUUGAAAGGCGGUUUCGGCUGUCACUUAUGGAUGGACCCGCGUCGCAUUAGCUAGUUGGUGAGGUAACGGCUCACCAAGGCAACGAUGCGUAGCCGACCUGAGAGGGUGAUCGGCCACACUGGGACUGAGACACGGCCCAGACUCCUCCGGGAGGCAGCAGUAGGGAAUCUUCCGCAAUGGACGAAAGUCUGACGGAGCAACGCCGCGUGAGUGAUGAAGGCUUUCGGGUCGUAAAACUCUGUUGUUAGGGAAGAACAAGUGCUAGUUGAAUAAGCUGGCACCUUGACGGUACCUAACCAGAAAGCCACGGCUAACUACGUGCCAGCCGCCGCGGUAA
rnacentral:rRNA from 1 species